AGCGAACGCUGGCGGCAGGCCUAACACAUGCAAGUCGAACGGCUCUUCGGAGCAGUGGCGGACGGGUGAGUAACGCGUGGGAACGUGCCCUUUGGUUCGGAACAACACAGGGAAACUUGUGCUAAUACCGGAUGAGCUCUUUGGGGGAAAGAUUUAUCGCCAUUAGAGCGGCCCGCGUUGGAGUAGGUAGUUGGUGGGGUAAAGGCCCACAAAGCCGACGAUCCAUAGCUGGUCUGAGAGGAUGAUCAGCCACACUGGGACUGAGACACGGCCCAGACUCCUACGGGAGGCAGCAGUGGGGAAUCUUGCGCAAUGGGCGAAAGCCUGACGCAGCCAUGCCGCGUGAAUGAUGAAGGUCUUAGGAUUGUAAAAUUCUUUCACCGGGGAAGAUAAUGACGGUACCCGGAGAAGAAGCCCCGGCUAACUUCGUGCCAGCAGCCGCCGUAAUAC
rnacentral:rRNA from 1 species